rnacentral:SRP_RNA from 1 species
UAAGUACCUAUAUCCAAUACUGAGCUGCGAAUCAGGUCAGGUCGUGACUGAAGCAGCCUUAAGCAUGUCUUAGUAUGUGGGUAUGGGUACUUAAGA